UACGGGGGGGGCAAGCGUUGUUCGGAAUUACUGGGCGUAAAGCGUGUGCAGGCGGCUAUGCAAGACAGAUGUGAAAUCCCCGGGCUCAACCUGGGAACUGCAUUUGUGACUGCAUGGCUAGAGUACGGUAGAGGGGGAUGGAAUUCCGCGUGUAGCAGUGAAAUGCGUAGAUAUGCGGAGGAACACCGAUGGCGAAGGCAAUCCCCUGGACCUGUACUGACGCUCAUGCACGAAAGCGUGGGGAGCAAACAGG
rnacentral:rRNA from 1 species